ACUCCUACGGGAGGCAGCAGUGGGGAAUAUUGCACAAUGGGGGAGACCCUGAUGCAGCCAUGCCGCGUGUGUGAAGAAGGCCUUCGGGUUGUAAAGCACUUUCAGCAGUGAGGAAGGUCGUGUACUUAAUACGUGCACGGCUUGACGUUAGCUGCAGAAGAAGCACCGGCUAACUCCGUGCCAGCAGCCGCGGUAAUACGGAGGGUGCGAGCGUUAAUCGGAAUUACUGGGCGUAAAGCGCAUGCAGGCGGUUUGUUAAGUCAGAUGUGAAAGCCCGGGGCUCAACCUCGGAACCGCAUUUGAAACUGGCAGGCUAGAGUCUUGUAGAGGGGGGUAGAAUUUCAGGUGUAGCGGUGAAAUGCGUAGAGAUCUGAAGGAAUACCAGUGGCGAAGGCGGCCCCCUGGACAAAGACUGACGCUCAGAUGCGAAAGCGUGGGUAGCAAACAGGAUUAGAUACCCUGGUAGUCCACGCCGUAAACGCUGUCUACUUGGAGGUUGAGGUUUUAGACUUUGGCUUUCGGCGCUAACGCAUUAAGUAGACCGCCUGGGGAGUACGGCCGCAAGGUUAAAACUCAAAGGAAUUGACGG
rnacentral:rRNA from 1 species